AAAUUGAAGAGUUUGAUCAUGGCUCAGAUUGAACGCUGGCGGCAGGCCUAACACAUGCAAGUCGAACGGUAACAGAAAGCAGCUUGCUGCUUUGCUGACGAGUGGCGGACGGGUGAGUAAUGUCUGGGAAACUGCCUGAUGGAGGGGGAUAACUACUGGAAACGGUAGCUAAUACCGCAUAACGUCGCAAGACCAAAGAGGGGGACCUUAGGGCCUCUUGCCAUCGGAUGUGCCCAGAUGGGAUUAGCUAGUAGGUGGGGUAACGGCUCACCUAGGCGACGAUCCCUAGCUGGUCUGAGAGGAUGACCAGCCACACUGGAACUGAGACACGGUCCAGACUCCUACGGGAGGCAGCAGUGGGGAAUAUUGCACAAUGGGCGCAAGCCUGAUGCAGCCAUGCCGCGUGUAUGAAGAAGGCCUUCGGGUUGUAAAGUACUUUCAGCGGGGAGGAAGGGAGUAAAGUUAAUACCUUUGCUCAUUGACGUUACCCGCAGAAGAAGCACCGGCUAACUCCGUGCCAGCAGCCGCGGUAAUACGGAGGGUGCAAGCGUUAAUCGGAAUUACUGGGCGUAAAGCGCACGCAGGCGGUUUGUUAAGUCAGAUGUGAAAUCCCCGGGCUCAACCUGGGAACUGCAUCUGAUACUGGCAAGCUUGAGUCUCGUAGAGGGGGGUAGAAUUCCAGGUGUAGCGGUGAAAUGCGUAGAGAUCUGGAGGAAUACCGGUGGCGAAGGCGGCCCCCUGGACGAAGACUGACGCUCAGGUGCGAAAGCGUGGGGAGCAAACAGGAUUAGAUACCCUGGUAGUCCACGCCGUAAACGAUGUCGACUUGGAGGUUGUGCCCUUGAGGCGUGGCUUCCGGAGCUAACGCGUUAAGUCGACCGCCUGGGGAGUACGGCCGCAAGGUUAAAACUCAAAUGAAUUGACGGGGGCCCGCACAAGCGGUGGAGCAUGUGGUUUAAUUCGAUGCAACGCGAAGAACCUUACCUGGUCUUGACAUCCACGGAAGUUUUCAGAGAUGAGAAUGUGCCUUCGGGAACCGUGAGACAGGUGCUGCAUGGCUGUCGUCAGCUCGUGUUGUGAAAUGUUGGGUUAAGUCCCGCAACGAGCGCAACCCUUAUCCUUUGUUGCCAGCGGUCCGGCCGGGAACUCAAAGGAGACUGCCAGUGAUAAACUGGAGGAAGGUGGGGAUGACGUCAAGUCAUCAUGGCCCUUACGACCAGGGCUACACACGUGCUACAAUGGCGCAUACAAAGAGAAGCGACCUCGCGAGAGCAAGCGGACCUCAUAAAGUGCGUCGUAGUCCGGAUUGGAGUCUGCAACUCGACUCCAUGAAGUCGGAAUCGCUAGUAAUCGUGGAUCAGAAUGCCACGGUGAAUACGUUCCCGGGCCUUGUACACACCGCCCGUCACACCAUGGGAGUGGGUUGCAAAAGAAGUAGGUAGCUUAACCUUCGGGAGGGCGCUUACCACUUUGUGAUUCAUGACUGGGGUGAAGUCGUAACAAGGUAACCGUAGGGGAACCUGCGGUU
rnacentral:rRNA from 1 species